GUAGCCAGUGUGGUCAGCAGCCACGGCAGGGCCUGUGGACAUGGCCCUCAUCACGGUGCAGGGAGCCCCAGCCCCACGCCCUGCCCUCCCUCCUUCCCAGAUGUGGCUACCCCACUGUGGAAGCCACUCGCGAUGGGCUUCUUUCUCCAACGCCCCAACUCCUUCUCUCCAAGGGAAGAGCCCUGGGGUGGAGAAUCCCUGAGUUCAAUCCUUCUUCUGCCACGUGAGUGCUCAGUUACUCUGGCAGAGAUGCCAGCCAGCCCCCUGGAACGGGCGUGUUCUACCGAGAUCUGCAGCCAGGAUGAGCAAAGCCUGACAGAGGGUCUGUAUGUGAGGCCACGGCCACGUUACGCCACAUCUGCACCCCAAAGGGGCGGCACCACACACGGAACACAAUCCGCUGACAGGAAUACAGCGCCCCCAGCUGGGGCCCCAGGAAAGAGCAGCAGGCGAUGCCUCGCUGACCCAGCAUCACGAAGGUGAGGGAGACAGCACUCCGGGUGGGAACUGGUGUGCUGUCUAUUCUCAGCCCCACUGUCGGCUGUGGGGUCGGGGGCUCCACCCUGCCUCUCACCUGGUAUGAUGGUGGUUGGUAAGUCUACACAAUGAAAAGGCACGUAAAGUAUGCUACAUGCCCAGUAUACAGGAAGCACUCAAGAUAUGGAGUAACCGGUAUGUCGUGUAUCUGAAAAUU